rnacentral:lncRNA from 1 species
GGCAUCUGCUUCCCAGGCUGUGGGGCCAGCAAGGGGCUCAGCUGCUCCCCAGCCCUGCCUUCCUCCAUGGAUCUGACAUGACUCUUUUAUGGGAAUUUACGUAAAAGUAACGCCUUGCUCAGUGUGGAAAAUUUAGGAGCUUCAGGAAAAUAUAAAGAAAAUUAAGGAAGUCAUCUCGCUUCUCAAAUACCGUGUUAAUUUGGGAGAGCACCUGCCAGGCAGCAGUGUCGCUCAGCUUAUGCGCAGCCAGCUUGGGGACUACAGCAGCUCAUCCUAACAAGAGACCAGAACUUCAGGCUGGUCUGAGGCAUGUGCCCACCUCUGGGUCACACGUCAUUCUUGAAGCAGUGGGCAAGUCAAAUA